rnacentral:lncRNA from 1 species
CUCUAACGGAAAUAUUACUCCGACAGGUUGAGGAAAACGCACUGGAAGGAAUAAAGACAAGCUUAAAAUCUUAUACAAGAUAUGUCGACAACAUUCUAGUUAUGUGGGAAAAUGAAAAUGAAGUCCAACCCCUAGAAGAUCUCCUUACGCUUACAGUACAGGCUGACUCUAACUAGAAUGCAGUUAAGCAUUCUAAACUAUCUAGACAUUGAAAUAAGUCCUAACAACGGCAGUCUAGUGACAGUGGUCUACAGAAAACCUCAAUAUCAACCCGUCAUAAUACCAAGCUGGUCUCCUGACCCUCUCUCUUUCAAGAAAGUAGCAUUUAGAGCUUUCAUAAGAAGGGCCUAUAAAUAUUGCUCAGAAGAAACAAGGCUAAAAGAAG